UACAGAGGUCUCAAGCGUUGUUCGGAUUCAUUGGGCGUAAAGCGCAUGUAGGCGGCGAUUCAAGUCGGGGGUGAAAUCCCAGGGCUCAACCCUGGAACUGCCUUCGAUACUGUUUUGCUUGAGUGUGGAAGAGGUUGGUGGAACUGCAAGUGUAGAGGUGAAAUUCGUAGAUAUUUGCAAGAACACCGGUGGCGAAGGCGGCCAACUGGUCCAUUACUGACGCUGAGAUGCGAAAGCGUGGGGAGCGAUCCGG
rnacentral:rRNA from 1 species